rnacentral:rRNA from 1 species
CUCGCGGCCUAUCAGCUUGUUGGCGGGGUAACGGCCCACCAAGGCUAUGACGGGUAACUGGCGUGAGAGCGCGACCAGGCACACCGGGACUGAGACACGGCCCGGACUCCUACGGGAGGCAGCAGUAGGGGAUCUUGGACAAUGGGCGAAAGCCUGAUCCAGCGACGCCGCGUGGGGGACGAAGGCCUUCGGGUUGUAAACCCCUGUUGUUGGGAAAGAAGCCGGCUUUGCCGGUGACUGUACUUAUUUAGGAAGCCCCGGCUAACUACGUGCCAGCACCCGUGGUA